rnacentral:rRNA from 1 species
AGUGAACGCUGGCGGUAGGCCUAACACAUGCAAGUCGAACGGCAGCACAGUAAGAGCUUGCUCUUACGGGUGGCGAGUGGCGGACGGGUGAGGAAUACAUCGGAAUCUACUUUUUCGUGGGGGAUAACGUAGGGAAACUUACGCUAAUACCGCAUACGACCUACGGGUGAAAGCAGGGGAUCUUCGGACCUUGCGCGAUUGAAUGAGCCGAUGUCGGAUUAGCUAGUUGGCGGGGUAAAGGCCCACCAAGGCGACGAUCCGUAGCUGGUCUGAGAGGAUGAUCAGCCACACUGGAACGGAGACACGGUCCAGACUCCUACGGGAGGCAGCAGUGGGGAAUAUGAGACAAUGGGCGCAAGCCUGAUCCAGCCAGACCGCGUGGGUGAAGAAGGCCUUCGGGUUGUAAAGCCCUUUUGUUGGGAAAGAAAAGCAGCAGGUUAAUACCACGCUGUUCUGACGGUACCCAAAGAAUAAGCACCGGCUAACUUCGUG